rnacentral:rRNA from 1 species
CCUACGGGUGGCAGCAGUGAGGAAUAUUGGUCAAUGGCCGAGAGGCUGAACCAGCCAAGUCGCGUGAGGGAAGACGGCCCUACGGGUUGUAAACCUCUUUUGUCGGGGAGCAAAACGAGGCACGUGUGACUCAUUGAGAGUACCCGAAGAAAAAGCAUCGGCUAACACCGUGCCAGCAGCCGCGGUAAUACGGAGGAUGCGAGCGUUAUCGGGAUUUAUUGGGUUUAAAGGGUGCGCAGGCGACGGUGAAAGACAGCGGUAAAAUUGCGGGGCUCAACCCCGUACUGCCGUUGAAACUGCAUCCUUUGAGUGCGCGAGAAGUAUGCGGAAUGCGUGGUGUAGCGGUGAAAUGCAUAGAUAUCACGAAGAACUCCGAUUGCGAAGGCAGCAUACCGGCGCGCAACUGACGCUCAUGCACGAAAGCGUGGGUAUCGAACAGGAUUAGAUACCCGUGUAGUC